GGAGAGAGGAAUUCACCAUCAUCUUCAUGUAUUCUUUCUCUCCCAACCGAUCAAAAAAGAAAGAAGAAACCAAAUACUCCACCAAAGCCGACCAUUAAAUUCAAAGGUUGAAAACAAUGUCAAAACUUCGAGGGACAACGGAAAGACAAGAACAAACAAUGAAUAACGUACGAAUCCGGUUUGUGUUAAUAUAACUUACCCUUAAUUAUGCAUAUUCAUUGAGUAAAUUACCUUACAAAUAUUUGGUGCCAAUGAUGAACAUAUCUUGAGUUAUUAAUUGAGAAAUUGAAUGGUAAAUAGUGUGUAUGUACGAAUAUUGUGGUGAGAAUUAUAUAUGAGUUACGAUAGUAUGAUUGAUAAUUAAUAGAUAAGAACUGUAUAAUUAUGCUCGUGAUAUUAUGACAUUAAUGUUAAAAACGAUAUAUGUAAAAGUGUAUGCUUGUAAUAUGAAAUGGAAAUGGAAGUGUAACUCAUUGAGUUGUUUCCGCAUA